UGCAGGCAGCGGGCUCCUGAUGAAGCACCUGCCGCAGGUGUGCUGAGCCUCAUGUCUCUGCUGUUUACAUGUGAGCGGUGUGGACAGAGACAGGGACAGGGACAGACUGUGAGAGGCAGCGCAUCCUCAGGGUUCUUCCUCAGGGUUCAUACUCAGGGUUCUUCCUCAGGGUUCACACAUGUUCCUGCUCAAGAUGAAGGUGCCCGCGGAGGAACUAAUGAGCGACAUAUUGAAGCGUCUGACGGGCGAGUCCGCGCUGCCUGUGUACAGCAACAUAGAGAAGUUCAGGCGAGCUAAAGACGGCCUGUACUUUGUCGCGGAGGACUUCAACGAAACGGUGAAAAAGAGGGAGCUGGUCAACGCCAAGGAGCGACUGAGAAUUCGCAACUUGAACACCAUGUUCUCCCGCCUGAAGCGGAUGGUGCCACUUAUGCGACCAGACCGGAAACCCAGUAAAGUGGACACACUCAAAGCUGCAACAGAGUACAUUCGAUUGCUUGUUGGAGUUUUGCAAGACACUGACAGUCAUGAUGGCAGUGGGACUGAUUUUCUAAAGAACGCAAUCACUUACGGUCAGACUGAAGGUUUGAGCAAUGACCUAUGGAGAAUGGAUGAUGCCGUCUCAAACUCCAUCAGGUUGGAUGGAGAGCGUUGGUGCACAGCCGUUUUCAGAUCUCUCCAGAGAUGUUCAAUCGGGUUCAAGUCUGGGCUCUGGCUGGGCAACUCAAGGACAUUCACAGAGUUGUCCCGAAUCCACUCCUUUGUUAUCUUGGCUGUGUGCCUAAGGUCUUUGUCCUGUUGGAGGUCCAGAGCGCUCUGGAGCAGGUUUUCAUCAAGGAUGUCUCUUUACAUUGCUGCAUUCAUCUUUCCCUCGAUCAUGACAAGUCUCCCAGCUCCUGCCGCUGAAAAAAUCACUGUUGAACAUGUCAGACGAGUGUAUGGAAGAUGGAUUCACUCUGCCUCAAGAACAAGUAACAGAGGAUGGCGAUAUGACCAGACUGGUGUUGCAACAUUGUGCGCUGCCUGCAUACCAGUUCAUCAUCCAAGUAGCACCUGACCAGUCUUCGAUGUCUCAACACUGCUGAAUGAUGUGAAGAGCAGAUGGCCAGACCUAAUACUGGGAACAUGCCAGGGGCUGUAGUUACCUGCGUUCAUUUGAAAAAACAUCUGUUGCGGAGUUUUGCAUGCAACUGUAUGUAUAAUACUUUUUUGUUUGUUUUUGAGGGCAAUAUUUAGUGCAUAUAUUUCACAUUCAUAAUUUGGAAACAAAAUGGUGAAUUAUGAUGGGCUAUGUAAUAAGUGGGAUUCUGAUAUUUGCCUUAAAACCUGUCAUCCCUCUUCAGAUAAAGUACAUUUUAAUGCAUGUAGAAACUGUGUCAAAAGAAGUGAGAGAUGAAUUAACUAUAAUCUUGUUUAUUUAGGGACCUUUUGCUUUGAAGAAAGGAUGCUUCCAGAAGAAAAUUCAAUUUGAUUUGUUUUAUUUAUAUUGACUUAAGAUUUUGUUUGAGUAUUUAUAUAUAUAAACGUAUGUAUAAAUAUGUUUUUAUUUUCAUUUUACAAACUGUAUACUUGGAAGCCUUUAGAAACAUUUACAAGCUUAAUUUUGUUCUCAUUUAUCUUAAGUAAGUGUUUUAUGUUUUCUGCUUAAAAUGUUUAAAUAUAAAUCUCAACAUCUGCAUUGUACCGAGUUUAUGUUUGAUAAAUAUGAAUAUCUUCAACUUUAAUAAAAUGGCUUUGUAACCUGUA